UCCCUCGUGGUCCAGCGGUUUAAACUCUGAGUUUCCAACGCAGGGGACCCAGGUUCGAUUCCUGGUCAAGGAA
rnacentral:tRNA from 1 species